rnacentral:rRNA from 1 species
UCAGCUUGUUGGUGGGGUGAUGGCCUACCAAGGCGACGACGGGUAGCCGGCUGAGAGGGCGACCGGCCACACUGGGACUGAGACACGGCCCAGANUCUACGGGAGGCAGCAGUGGGGAAUAUUGCACAAUGGGCGGAAGCUGAUGCAGCGACGCCGCGUGAGGGAUGACGGCCUUUCGGGUUGUAAACCUCUUUCAGCAGGGACGAAGCGUAAGUGACGGUACCUGCAGAAGAAGCGCCGGCCAACUACGUGCCAGCAGCCGCGGUAAGACGUAGGGCGCGAGCGUUGUCCGGAUUUAUUGGGCGUAAAGAGCUCGUAGGCGGCUUGUCGCGUCGACCGUGAAAACUUGGGGCUCAACCCCAAGCCUGCGGUCGAUACGGGCAGGCUAGAGUUCGGUAGGGGAGACUGGAAUUCCUGGUGUAGCGGUGAAAUGCGCAGAUAUCAGGAGGAACACCGGUGGCGAAGGCGGGUCUCUGGGCCGAUACUGACGCUGAGGAGCGAAAGCGUGGGGAGCGAACAGGAUUAGAUACCCUGGUAGUCCACGCUGUAAACGUUGGGCGCUAGGUGUGGGGGGCCUCUCCGGUUCCCUGUGCCGCAGCUAACGCAUUAAGCGCCCCGCCUGGGGAGUACGGCCGCAAGGCUAAAACUCAAAGGAAUUGACGGGGGCCCGCACAAGCGGCGGAGCAUGCGGAUUAAUUCGAUGCAACGCGAAGAACCUUACCUGGGUUUGACAUGGCCGCAAAACUGUCAGAGAUGGCAGGUCCUUCGGGGGCGGUCACAGGUGGUGCAUGGC